rnacentral:rRNA from 1 species
GGCGAACGCUGGCGGCGUGCCUAAUACAUGCAAGUAGGACGCACAGUUUAUACCGUAGCUUGCUACACCAUAGACUGUGAGUUGCGAACGGGUGAGUAACGCGUAGGUAACCAGCCUAUUAGAGGGGGAUAACUAUUGGAAACGAUAGCUAAUACCGCAUAACAGUAUGUAACACAUGUUAGAUGCUUGAAAGAUGCAAUUGCAUCGCUAGUAGAUGGACCUGCGUUGUAUUAGCUAGUAGGUAGGGUAAAGGCCUACCUAGGCAACGAUACAUAGCCGACCUGAGAGGGGGAUCGGCCACACUGGGACUGAGACACGGCCCAGACUCCUACGGGAGGCAGCAGUAGGGAAUCUUCGGCAAUGGGGGGAACCCUGACCGAGCAACGCCGCGUGAGUGAAGAAAGUUUUCGGAUCGUAAAGCUCUGUUGUUAAGGAAGAACGAGUGUGAGAAUGGAAAGUUCAUGCUGUGACGGUACUUAACCAGAAAGGGACGGCUAACUACGUGCCAGCAGCCGCCGUAA